rnacentral:rRNA from 1 species
GUGUGUCUAGUGGCGAACGGGUGCGUAACACGUGGACAACAUUCCGAGAAGCGGGGGAUAGCCCAGGGAAACUUGGUUUAAUACCGCAUGUGGUUGAGUGUGGCAUCACACAACAACUAAAGGUGGGGACCGCAAGGCCUGCCACUUCUCGAUUGGUCCGCGGCCUAUCAGCUUGUUGGCGGGGUAAAGGCCCACCAAGGCGACGACGGGUAGCUGGUCUGAGAGGACGACCAGCCACACUGGAACUGAGACACGGUCCAGACACCUACGGGUGGCAGCAGUCGAGAAUCAUUCACAAUGGGGGAAACCCUGAUGGUGCGACGCCGCGUGGAGGAUAAGGUCUUCGGAUUGUAAACUCCUGUCAUGUGAGAGCAAGGUUACGAUUUUAAUACCUUCGGAGCUUGAUAGUAUCACAAGAGGAAGAGACGGCUAACUCUGUGCCAGCAGCCGCGGUAAUACAGAGGUCUCAAGCGUUGUUCGGAAUCACUGGGCGUAAAGGGUGCGUAGGCGGCUUGGUAAGUCAGAUGUGAAAGGUGGGGGCUCAACCUCCG